rnacentral:rRNA from 1 species
AGUGAACGCUGGCGGCAGGCCUAAUACAUGCAAGUCGAACGGCAGCACGGCAGAGCUUGCUCUGUGGGUGGCGAGUGGCGGACGGGUGAGGAAUACAUGGGAAUCUGCCCAGUCGUGGGGGAUAACGUAGGGAAACUUACGCUAAUACCGCAUGCGCCCUUCGGGGGAAAGCCGGGGACCUUCGGGCCUGGCGCGAUUGGAUGAGCCCAUGUCGGAUUAGCUAGUUGGCGGGGUAAUGGCCCACCAAGGCGACGAUCCGUAGCUGGUCUGAGAGGAUGAUCAGCCACACUGGGACUGAGACACGGUCCAGACUCCUACGGGAGGCAGCAGUGGGGAAUUUUGGACAAUGGGGGCAACCCUGAUCCAGCCAUGCCGCGUGAGUGAAGAAGGCCUUCGGGUUGUAAAGCUCUUUCGGCCGGGAAGAAAUCGUAUGGGUUAAUACCCUGUGCGGAUGACGGUACCCCAAGAGGAAGCCCCUGCUAACUACGUG